CUUCUUCUUCGUCCUUUUUCCUUUUCCUUUUUCUCUCUCUCUUCCUAUUCCUCUUUCGAUCGGAAACGGAAGGCAAGGGGCUUGGAUAACCAUGAAGGGUUGUUGGCAGCGGUGGCUUGCUUUGGUUUCGGUGGUGGUAUGAUGGAAGUAACAAUACCAUUUUUUCAUGUUUCUUAAUUCCAUUGAUCCCAAAAAAAACUAUUCCAAUCCGGCCCCGUCAACCCUAAAUAUAAAUUAAUAGUACUAAGUUUCUUUAUUUUUGUUUUUGUUUAAUUAUUGAUUUAUUUAAAAAAUUUCUGAUUAUAUACUUCUACCAUUGUUUACAUAUUGAUGUUCAUCUAAUUCCUUUCAAUUAAAUUAAUUUACCUUAUGCUUGUUUUCAUGGGUGAUGAUGCAACCGGGAAAAAGUAAAGAACUUUGUUAUUUCCCUGAAUGGACCUGAGGACACUGCUUGUUCUGCGGCGACGAGCGGUGAUGGUUCCAGGGAAGAAGAAGUGAACUCCUUGACUAUUCUUGUGAGUACACCUGAGGAAACUGCAUCUUCUGCGAGGAUUCCCCUCCGCUGGAACUUUAAUACUUGGGCAGAGGGAAUUAAGGAUGCUGUUUGUUGAGCAUGGAUUGGCCUGACUUGUUAUUGUGCAGCUCUUUUACAAAGGUGGAAUGAUAAAAUUAUCAUUCAUCCAGUGCGGGCGAUGGAUUGUGGCAUUUUCUUUGGAAGCUGUUUACUUGUUUCGGGCUGUUUAUGUUGGCGGAAUUAGUAUUAUUACCAUGAGCACGGGGAUUAUAUUGCUGCUUAAUUUUGCAGAAUUUCUCUACCCAAAAAAUUAUUCUCUCAAACAGCCUCUCCCGGCAUAUUCCUCCGACGAAUUCAAGCCCUAUAUUAGCCAACUCCCAGAGUUUGAAUUAUGGCUCUCUUACAUGUUUAUUAGGUCCUUGGCCUUGGUGGCGUCUUUUUUUCUGAGAGUGGAGGGAAAUGAUUUCCCGUGGUAUGUGCAAGUCGCUGUGCUCGCCUUCGCUGGCAGUUUUUUCUUGCGUAGGCCUCUCAAGCAUCUGAAAAAAUACUAGUAUUUCCCAUUCAACUCAUGGAAUCAGAGUUCUAUCGCCAUCGCCAAGGGAGCAUUGUAAGAAGGGUAAGUGGAAUUCAUAUUUUAAUCCCUCCGGCAUUGACCGAGCAAUUGUCGAUUCAUUGGAUUUGGCCGGACUCAAUAUUUUAAUUCUGGCUUCUCACCGGAAUCCACGGAUUCCGACCGGAAUCAUUCUCUUGUUGAACAUGGAGUAGUAAAAUAAACUACGAGAAAGUUGAGUUCCAUUGAUUCCAAUUUUAAUCCAUGUCUCAAAUCUAGUCUAUAUACAUGGUAUUACGAAUUUAAUUUACAAAGCACUUUUAUUUCAAUGUUUUCUUUCUUAGAAGCAUCAGAAAGCUCACAGAAGAAGGAUCACGACGACAGACACAAUCUAAUGGAAAGAGAAGAGGAACCCCACUUAUAUUGUUUAUACAAGUGGAUCACUUUUUUGUCCAUUAAAAUAAUAAUUUCAAUUUAAUGAAUGAAUAAUUUAGAUAAGUUAUUUUUGUUACAAUGUAACAAUAAAAUACGCAAUAAUUUAUAAC